rnacentral:rRNA from 1 species
AUUGAACGCUGGCGGCAGGCCUAACACAUGCAAGUCGAACGGUAACAGGAAGAAGCUUGCUUCUUUGCUGACGAGUGGCGGACGGGUGAGUAAUGUCUGGGAAACUGCCUGAUGGAGGGGGAUAACUACUGGAAACGGUAGCUAAUACCGCAUAACGUCGCAAGACCAAAGAGGGGGACCUUCGGGCCUCUUGCCAUCGGAUGUGCCCAGAUGGGAUUAGCUAGUAGGGGGGGUAACGGCUCACCUAGGCGACGAUCCCUAGCUGGUCUGAGAGGAUGACCAGCCACACUGGAACGGAGACACGGUCCAGACUCCUACGGGAGGCAGCAGUGGGGAAUAUUGCACAAUGGGCGCAAGCCUGAUGCAGCCAUGCCGCGUGUAUGAAGAAGGCCUUCGGGUUGUAAAGUACUUUCAGCGGGGAGGAAGGGAGUAAAGUUAAUACCUUUGCUCAUUGACGUUACCCGCAGAAGAAGCACCGGCUAACUCCGUG